GUAACGGCUCACCAAGGCGACGAUCCGUAGCUGGUUUGAGAGGACGACCAGCCACACUGGGACUGAGACACGGCCCAGACUCCUACGGGAGGCAGCAGUGGGGAAUUUUGGACAAUGGGGGAAACCCUGAUCCAGCCAUCCCGCGUGUGCGAUGAAGGCCUUCGGGUUGUAAAGCACUUUUGGCAGGAAAGAAACGUCGUGGGUUAAUACCCCGCGAAACUGACGGUACCUGCAGAAUAAGCACCGGCUAACUACGUGCCAGCAGCCGCGGUAAUACGUAGGGUGCAAGCGUUAAUCGGAAUUACUGGGCGUAAAGCGUGCGCAGGCGGUUCGGAAAGAAAGAUGUGAAAUCCCAGAGCUUAACUUUGGAACUGCAUUUUUAACUACCGGGCUAGAGUGUGUCAGAGGGAGGUGGAAUUCCGCGUGUAGCAGUGAAAUGCGUAGAUAUGCGGAGGAACACCGAUGGCGAAGGCAGCCUCCUGGG
rnacentral:rRNA from 1 species